rnacentral:rRNA from 1 species
CGGGACUCUCACGAGGCCUCGUAAUCGGAAUGAGUACACUUUAAAUAUUUUAACGAGGAACAAUUGGAGGGCAAGUCUGGUGCCAGCAGCCGCGGUAAUUCCAGCUCCAAUAGCGUAUACUAAAUUUGUUGCGGUUAAAAAGCUCGUAGUUGCAUUUGUGCGCCGCGCUGUCGGUGCACCGCAUCCGCGGUGAUACUGACACGUUUGCGGAGCAUAUCGUCGGUGAGCCGCCGAUCAAAAGGCGGUUCAAUAUCAAAAUCCUAUCGCGGUGCUCUUCAGUGAGUGUCGAGGUGGGCCGACAAUUUUACUUUGAACAAAUUAGAGUGCUCAAAGCGGGCUCAAAAUGCUGCUUGAAUAUUUCGUGCAUGGAAUAAUAGAAUAUGAUCUCGGUUCUAUUUUGUUGGUUUUCAGAACUCCGAGGUAAUGAUUAAUAGGGAUAACUGGGGGCAUUCGUAUUGCGACGUUAGAGGUGAAAUUCUUGGAUCGUCGCAAGACGAACAACAGCGAAGGCAUUUGCCAAAGGUGUUUUCAUCAAUCAAGAACGAAAGUUAGAGGUUCGAAGGCGAUUAGAUACCGCCCUAGUUCUAACCGUAAAUAUGUCAUCUAGCGAUCCGCCGACGUUAAUCAAAUGGCUCGGCGGGCAGCUUCCGGGAAACCAAAGAUUUUGGACUCCGGGGGGAGUAUGGUUGCAAAGCUGAAACUUAAAGGAA